rnacentral:rRNA from 1 species
AAAUUUAGUUUUAGUUUAAAGGUUAUAAUUAUUACACUCAAUAAUCUACCCCACCAGGGAUAGCGGUUGAGUAUUCUAAACAACUCAAAGAGAGGUUUGGGUCCUAAAUUAUAUUUUAAUAAAUUUGUGCCAGCAUUAGCGGUUAUACAGAUAAGUUUAAUACCUUUAUAGAAGUAAAUAAAACUUUAGAAAAUUUGUUGUUUUAUAGUAAAAUAUAAGAUAAAUUUAUUUGACCCCUAAAGAGUUUAAAUAAAUUUUAAACAAAAAGGACUAGGAUUAGAUACCCUAUUACUUUCAAUUUGUAAUUAUUUAUCUUAAGUAGUAUUAAUUGAAACUUAAAAAAUUUGGCGGUAGUUUAUUUUCCACCCUAAAGGGCUUAGCUUUAUAUCUUGAUAACACGCAGUAGGUCUUACUUAAAAUAAUUUUGUGUAUGGCUGUUUCUUUUUGUUUAAAAUUUAUUUAAAAACAGUUAAUAUAUAACAAUGUUCAAGUAACACGCAAAACUUUUAUAGGUAAAGUGGUGCACUUUUUGUUAGACAGAGCAAGGAUGCCCGCCUUGGCUCGAGAUAGGAUUUAGCAGUAAAUUUUAAUAGAACACCAAAUUGAAUAUUGUGUUCUAAACUAUGCACAUAUCGCCCGUCAUUUCUGGAAAGAACAAGUCGUAACAAAGUAGCCCUUUUUGAAAAAGGGGCU